GGGCUCUUAGAUCAGACCGGUAGAUCGCGUCCUUGGCGUGGACGAGGCCGAGGGUUCAAAUCCCUCAGAGUCCA
rnacentral:tRNA from 2 species